AAACAUUAGUGUUUAAUGCACAUAGAACUUUGAAUUCUACAGAAAUAGAUAUUCUCUAUUAUGUUUC
rnacentral:tRNA from 1 species